CGCGGGAAGGCCGGCCGCAGGCGGAGGGCGGUGGAGGGGUUCCCCCGGGUACCUGCGCUGGAAGUCCGCGGCGAAGGGCUUCAGGUACGGGUCAAUCUCCAGGAGUCGGGCCAGCUCCGGCACGUCGGCCAAGGCGGCCUCCAGACGAGCAUCGGGGCCCGUUUCCCCUGCCGCAGGAGCCGCCGGCGCCGCCAUCUUCGCCGCAGCAGCCCGAGUAGCCGAGGCCCGAGAGGGUCGAGUGGGCCGAGUGGAGUGCGAGCGGCAGGGCGGAGCCGGGCGAGCCUAGGCGAGCCGCCGGGGACUUGCCCUUUAUAGCGGCGGAGCGGGCCAGGGUGAGCCCGGGACACACGUCCUCAGCGCGGGCCCCCGCCCACUCACGGGGCCGGCCCCUGGAGCCCUGAACUGUGCUGGCUGGCCACCGGGAGGCGGGUCUCACCAGUCCCUGUCCCUUCCCCUUCCUGCCCGGUGGUCACCUCUCCUCAAACACCUGCUCUCAUUUCUGAGUUUUGUUUUUCCUAGGGCGAUGGUUUUCAAAAAGUGGGAAAUUCACCUGGACCACGGUUAAAAGUCGACAACGCGAAACUAUUUAGAAUCUUAAUGUCAUUUAACAACCCUACGGCCCUAACCUUAAUGUGUCUCAAGAGUUUAACCAAGAGAGUCUUUAAAGAUUUUUGCAUAGAUAAGCAUGGAUAGCCAGCCAGGUCCCUGAAGUCACAGUAAGAACAAGAACUUUCCUGGUUCCCUGUACUGAAAUCAGGCAUUUGUGUUUCACCAACCAAACUGUCUUUGAUGAGACAUGACUGGGAGAACAUCAUUAAAGUGGACUGCACUCUCCUGCUUAAUCACAGUGAUGAAGCAAAAACUUUUCUGGCCAAGCUCCCAAGUAUAACUACCCUGUGUCCUUUCUGUCCAGUGGUUCCUUUGCAAGAAUACAGAAUGGGGGCUUGAUGCCAUGAUGGCUCACUAGGUAAAAAGUGCUUGCCACAAGGCAUAUAACUGGAAUUAUAUUCCCAGAACCCACGGUCUGGAAAGAGGAAACCAACUUUCAAAUAUUUUCCACCCUGCCACAUAUAUACUGAUACACAGACAUACAAAAAAAUUUUUUUUUAAGAAUACAGAUUUUGACACAAGGAGAAAUGGACGCUGCUACUCAGGAGGCUGCAAGUUACUUUGCACCUCAAAACUGGACAGGCUUGAGUAUAAUUUUCUCAGUUGAAAUCUGGAAAUGUAAAAUCCUAUCGCUUCUCGGCCUUUUGGCUAAGAUCAAGUGUAGUAAAAUCUUAGCGUCUAGGAAGAAGGAACAGUAUUGACCAGCCUUGGGAUAUAAACAUUUAAAACAGGGUUUGUGAUGAACUUAAGAAAGAAAAAUAUUCACUUCGAUGUGAAUAGCUAAAGGUCUUAGAUAAAGGUAUAUAUAUAUCUACAAAUGGGGGGGGGCUUGAACCCAGAAAUAAAGUACCUAGUAGACACCC
rnacentral:lncRNA from 1 species